CCUACGGGAGGCAGCAGUGAGGAAUAGUGGUCAAUGGACGCAAGUCGGAACCAGCCAUGCCGCGUGCAGGAAGACGGCGCGAUGAGUUGUAAACUGCUGUUGGACGAGGGAAAACGCAGAUACGCGGAUCGGUCUGAAAGGAACGUACGAAUAAGGAGCGGCUAACUCCGUGCCAGCAGCCGCGGUAAUACGGAGGAUUCAAGCGUUAUCCUGAUUUAUUGGGUUUAAAGGGUGCGUAGGCGGUCGGAUAAGUUAGAGGUGAAAUCCCGCGGCUCAACUUCGGAAUUGCCUCUGAUAAUGGUCGGCUAGAGCGUAGUUGCGGUAUGCGGAAUGUCUGGUGUAGCGGU
rnacentral:rRNA from 1 species